GGCGAUACACUCAAAGACUUUUUCAGUGGACAUUGCUGAUCUAGUUGAAAGUGGGUACUGGCCAGCAACAGUCAAUUUUAAAACCUUGUAUGCAGUGGAUUGGUUCACUAAAUAUGAGGAUCUCAAGAUUGCGGCUCUGGGAAUGUCACGGCAAGCUUUUGUUAGCAUGCCUGAACAUCGCACAAAAGUCUUAGGUCGCAGAUUAAGAUAUGUGGGGAUACCAUGCAGAAUGCAUUACUGGAAUAGACCUAUGCCAAAUUUGAAGUUGAGAGGCUGUCUCAGGUGCAGCAUUCAGUGCCCUGCGUGCACACCCUCCAUGUUGGCUUUUGCAGUGGAUGGGAUCCGUAAACUAUACGGCUUUAAGAGCCAACCAGGGAUUCUGAGGUGUCUUCCUUGGUUGACUACAUCCAUGAGACGACAAAACACACUGUGCAAAGGACCUUGAGAACAUCACCACUCUACAGGAAGACACAGUCCAGUAAUGGGUGUCAGAUGUUCAGCAGUGGACGACAGGACCAACCAAUCAAAAUGACUUGCAGAACGCCAUUGAGGACUCUAUUUGAGCAUUAAGCAGCAAAGAUUUCAGCUGUAUCGUCAGGCUGGCAGUACUGAGGCAUUUACGGAGACGGGACAUGAGGGUCUACUCUGCGUGCUCAAGAGAAGAUUGCACAAAGUUCAAGCUCAGCAGGCUGCAGUGGGUCCGACAUAUUCUGG